GGCUCAGUAGCACAGUGGUUAGCGUUUUUGCCUCACUGUAAGGAGGUUCCAGGUUCCAGUCCAGGCCAGCCA